rnacentral:rRNA from 1 species
UACGUAGGGGGCAAGCGUUGUCCGGAAUCAUUGGGCGUAAAGAGCGCGUAGGCGGCCCAGUCAGUCCGCUCUGAAAGUCAGGGGCUCAACCCCUGAAUGCGGGUGGAUACUGCUGGGCUAGAGUCCGGAAGAGGCGAGUGGAAUUCCUGGUGUAGCGGUGAAAUGCGCAGAUAUCGGGAAGAACACCCGUGGCGAAGGCGGCUCUCUGGGACGGUACUGACGCUGAGACGCGAAAGCGUGGGGAGCGAACAGG